CCGGGCUGGCGGGGGCCGGGGCGCGUCCUCCCGGAGAGCCAAGGGAAGCCAAGCGCGCGUCUCGUGCUGGGCUGAGGUUUGCCUUUUUCAAGUAAAUACAAACAUCAGUGUGAAAUUAUCCAGUGUUCCGCGAAACAAAAAGGAGUUCAAAGGAUAAAAGAGUUUACAACGCUUUGGCCGCCAGGGCAGCGCGAAGGAGUGCGCUGGGCAUCCCCACGCGCGCUCGCAUUACCGCCGUUGCCAGAAAGCUGACCCCCCGUCUGGCCGUCUAUCCAGCGCUCGCUGUCGCUUCCCAAACUAACGCGGAGAAUUUACUCUCUCGUGGAAGCUGCGAGAGGCCGAGGCGGAGGCAAAGGCGAGCGGGCCGGGGAGGCUGCAUGCUCCCUCCCGCAGCCUGCGAGUUUCCAGCCGCCCAGCCGGAGACGGGCUUGUUGAGGAUGACAGCACUCAGAUGUGACACAGACACCUUGUACGCUCCUGAGCACUAGAAGCAGAUGCAAGUAACCUUAUGAAAUAGGCACUCCUGUCAUUCCACAUUUUGAAGAUAAGGAAACAGGCACAAAAAGUUUCAACAACCUGCCCCAAGCUGUUCUGCUGAGAGGAGGAAGAAGCUGAAACGAGAUGGCCAAUUAUCAAGGGACUUCUGAGAUGCCAAAACCCUUCAAGUGUGACUCCUUUAGUAUCUGACUAGACCACUAACAACGAAUAUGUGAAUAAAUUAAAACUGCCAGAAGGAGCUCUUGAUUUUGGCUUUACAUGUAUGUGUUUGUCCCCCAGAAGCUGUAUAGAAUGUCUCAAAAGAAGUCUUCUCUUCUGAGUGCACACUGAGUAAAUGAGGCAGAUGGGAUCUAAGAACAUUUCACAUUGCAUUCCUCAGCUUUCUGGCAUCCCCUUUCCACUCCCUUCAAUGGACUCAAGGGUCACCUGGUUUAGAUUCUGGAAGAACAAAGAUAACUCUCUAGGACGAAGAGCACAGCUUUGGGCACCUGAAAUGAGAAAAAUCUAUACCCCAUAGAAAUAUUGCAAGGAAAAAGAUGGAGUGGAUUUAGUUCUUGUUACCAGAUGCCAAUCAUUCUUACCCAUUUUGCAAGGAGAGUUUUAACUUCAGAGUUGGCUCUUCAGGAUUUGACCUUUCA